CCAGAGGGGCAGAGGAUCGCUGGAUAUCAUGUCACAAUGAUCGCCAGAGGAAAGUCCGGGCUCCAGCAAGACAGGGUGACGGAUAACCUCCGCCUGAGGUGACUCACGGGAAAGUGCCACAGAAAGCAAACCGCCGUUUCGUCCCAUUGCGCCCCCGCGCAAUCGGCGGCCAAACGGUAAGGGUGAAAGGGUGCGGUAAGAGCGCACCGCAAUCUUGGUAACAAGAUUGGCACGGCAAACCCCACCCGGAGCAAGAUCGAAUAGGAGCGGCCGUUGACCCAGAUGCAAAUUUGGGGGGCAACAACGUGUCUUGACCGCAGCCGCUCGGGUUGGUCGCGCGAGCCUGGGGGUAACCCCCGGCCCAGAGGAAUGAUCCUCACGCUGGUAUUUAUACCACGGACAGAACCCGGCUUAUCGCCCCUCUGGCAGC
rnacentral:RNase_P_RNA from 1 species